rnacentral:rRNA from 1 species
UUGCACCUUUCAAGCGAGUGGCGAACGGGUGAGUAACACGUGGAUAACCUGCCUCAAGGCUGGGAUAACAUUUGGAAACAGAUGCUAAUACCGAAUAAACUUAGUAUCGCAUGAUACAAAGUUAAAAGGCGCUACGGCGUCACCUAGAGAUGGAUCCCGCGGUGCAUUAGUUAGUUGGUGGGGUAAAGGCUUACCAAGGACAAUGAUGCAUAGCCCGAGUUGAUAGACUGAUCGGCCACAUUGGGACUGAGACACGGCCCAUACUCC